AAACGGGUGCGGAACACGUACAGUAACCUUCCUUUAAGCGGGGGAUAGCCCAGAGCAAAUUUGGAUUAAUACCCCUAUAGUAUUGUUGAGUGGCAUCACUUGAUGAUUAAAGAUUUAUCACUUAAAGAUGGCUGUGCGGCUGAUUAGGUAGUUGGCGGGGUAAUCGGCCCACCAAGCCUUCGAUCAGUAACUGGUGUGAGAGCACGACCAGUCACACGGGCACUGAGCACACGGUCCACAGAAUCUCAUACGGGAGGCAGCAGUAAGGAAUAUUGGGCAAUGGACGAAAGUCUGACCCAGCCAUGCCGCGUGGAGGAUGAAGGUCCUCUGGAUUGUAAACUUCUUUUAUUUGGGAAGAAACCCGAUUUUUCUAAAUCGGUUGACGGUACCAGAUGAAUAAGCACCGGCUAACUCCGUGCCAGCAGCC
rnacentral:rRNA from 1 species